UACAGAGGGUGCAAGCGUUGUUCGGAAUUAUUGGGCGUAAAGGGCGCGUAGGCGGUGCUGUAAGUCUGUAGUGAAAUCUCUGGGCUCAACUCAGAGUCUGCUAUAGAAACUGCAGUGCUGGAGUGUGGGAGAGGUGAGUGGAAUUCCCGGUGUAGCGGUGAAAUGCGUAGAUAUCAGGAGGAACACCCAUGGCGAAGGCAGCAAACUGGGCUUCAUCUGACGCUGAUGCGCGAAAGCGUGGGUAGCAAACAGG
rnacentral:rRNA from 1 species